rnacentral:rRNA from 1 species
UGGCGGCGUGCCUAAUACAUGCAAGUCGAGCGCAGGAAACUGACGGAACUCUUCGGAGGGAAGGCAGUGGAAUGAGCGGCGGACGGGUGAGUAACACGUAAGGAACCUGCCUCAAGGAUUGGGAUAACUCCGAGAAAUCGGAGCUAAUACCGGAUAGUUCAACGGACCGCAUGGUCCGCUGAUGAAAGGCGCUCCGGCGUCACCUUGAGAUGGCCUUGCGGUGCAUUAGCUAGUUGGUGGGGUAACGGCCCACCAAGGCGACGAUGCAUAGCCGACCUGAGAGGGUGAUCGGCCACACUGGGACUGAGACACGGCCCAGACUCCUACGGGAGGCAGCAGUAGGGAAUCUUCCACAAUGGACGAAAGUCUGAUGGAGCAACGCCGCGUGAGUGAUGAAGGUUUUCGGAUCGUAAAACUCUGUUGUAAGGGAAGAACACGUACGAGAGGAAAUGCUCGUACCUUGACGGUACCUUACGAGAAAGCCACGGC